rnacentral:misc_RNA from 1 species
UCUCCGUUGGUGAACCAGCGGAGGGAUCAUUACCGAGUUUACAACUCCCGAACCCCUAUGUGAACGUUACCAAACUGUUGCCUCGGCGGGAAAUUCAUGCCCCGGGCGCGUCGCAGCCCCGGACCAAGGCGCCCGCCGGAGGACCAACCAAAACUCUUUUGUAUGUCCCUCGCGGACUUUUAUAAUUCUGAACCAUCUCGGCGCCCCUAGCGGGCGUUUCGAAAAUGAAUCAAAACUUUCAACAACGGAUCUCUUGGCUCUC